rnacentral:lncRNA from 1 species
GAAUGGCGCUCCUGUCGCUGUCAGUGAGUCUGAAAACCAUCUUCAGAAUACCACCGUAUGCCUCACGGAACAUCCCCACAUGGUCGGGUGUAAUCAAGGCUAUCAUAUCUCUCAGCACACCAAUCUCUGGGUCGAAGAAACUGUAGGCAACAACAUGCUUCAAACCGGUCCUCAUGUCUGAGCAAAGAAAUCUCUCAACCAGGAUCUCAAUCAAAA